rnacentral:rRNA from 1 species
UACGUAGGGGGCAAGCGUUAUCCGGAUUUACUGGGUGUAAAGGGAGCGUAGACGGUGAUGCAAGUCAGAAGUGAAAGCCCGGGGCUCAACUCCGGGACUGCUUUUGAAACUGUGUGACUGGAGUGCAGGAGAGGUAAGCGGAAUUCCUGGUGUAGCGGUGAAAUGCGUAGAUAUCAGGAGGAACACCGGUGGCGAAGGCGGCCACCUGGACGACAACUGACGCUGAGGUGCGAAAGCGUGGGGAGCAAACAGG